rnacentral:rRNA from 1 species
GACCUGGCUGGGCGGUCCGCUUAACGGCGUGUACUGUCUGGCUGGGCCUUACCUCUUGGUGAGCCGGCGUGCCCUUCACUGGUGUGCGUCGGGGAACCAGGACUUUUACCUUGAAAAAAUUAGAGUGUUUAAAGCAGGCUAACGCUUGAAUACAUUAGCAUGGAAUAAUGAAAUAGGACG